rnacentral:rRNA from 1 species
UACGUAGGGUGCGAGCGUUAAUCGGAAUUACUGGGCGUAAAGCGUGCGCAGGCGGUUCGUUAAGUCAGAUGUGAAAGCCCCGGGCUCAACCUGGGAACUGCAUUUGAAACUGGCGGGCUUGAGUGUGGCAGAGGGGGAUGGAAUUCCGCGUGUAGCAGUGAAAUGCGUAGAUAUGCGGAGGAACACCGAUGGCGAAGGCAAUCCCCUGGGCCUGCACUGACGCUCAUGCACGAAGCGUGGGAGCAAACAGG